UAUGCUUAACACAUGCAAGUCCAACGGCAGCACAGGGAGCUUGCUCCUGGGUGGCGAGUGGCGGACGGGUGAGUAACGCGUGAGGAUCUGCCCUUAGGUGGGGGACAACAGUUGGAAACGACUGCUAAUACCCCAUAUGCCGAGAGGUGAAAGAUUAAUUGCCUGAGGAUGAACUCGCGUCUGAUUAGCUAGUUGGUGGGGUAAGGGCCUACCAAGGCGACGAUCAGUAGCUGGUCUGAGAGGACGAUCAGCCACACUGGAACUGAGACACGGUCCAGACUCCUACGGGAGGCAGCAGUGGGGAAUUUUCCGCAAUGGGCACAAGCCUGACGGAGCCAUACCGCGUGCGGGAGGAAGGCCCUUGGGUCGUAAACCGCUUUUAACAGGGAAGAAUAACUGACGGUACCUGUUGAAUAAGCCUCGGCUAACUCCGUGCCAGCAGCCGCCGUAAGAC
rnacentral:rRNA from 1 species